UCGACCGAUAAUUUCAGUAUCACUUCCGAGGCGAUCCGUGCAACGAUCUCCAAACGAAUGAAGGGAAGUUUUCUGUGACUUCGUGAUAUGAAGUAAGCGCUCAAUUGCUGCGGUCACAACUUUGACAAAAACACGUGUUCGCUGCUGUUCACGUUUAUGUGAAAAGUAAUGCAUUGAGGAGCAACGUAUUAUCAAGCACGGUGAAUAGCGCGCGAUGGGUACAUAUUUCCGUGGAUGGGUACGGUGAAUGCUACUCUCGCUACGCUCGCUAUAGCGGGAUAUCGAGGGCGGCUCGAUCGGGCAGGCCGGCCCUGCACUGACGUAUUUCUACUGCCGCACAGCUUGCAGGUAUUCUUUUUUCAUUUAAUGCGCUGCUAAGCUGAAUAAACCUUUUAAUCGCGCCAAUUACUGUGGAUAAAUGCUUCUAACUUUUCAGCUAAUCUUUACACUCGUGACUGUAGGCUAGACCCCUUUUUAUUUUAUGUUUACAUGUCGAUGUGGGUGCGUGCAUGUCGACAUGUCGGAAUUUUGAAAAUCCUUUGUAUGUCGACAUCAAUGUCGAUAUGAGGCCUAUCGACAACAGCACUAGUUUUCAUUGAUUUUAUGUUGAAUAUUAUUAAAGAAUAUGACUCUUUGCACCUGAAUUGUAACACUGAAAUAUGGAAAUGAAGAAGUUUUAUCAUCAUGUAUUUUUAUUAAUCUGCAAAUAAAAUUUUACUAUGUCACUCAAAUUCAUUUCAUUUCAUUAAAGAUUCAAAGAGGGAUCUCUGGAUGAUCGAGCAACAAGUCCAGCAUUAUGUGGGAAAGAUACUACAGGUGUACACAGAAAAGGCCAUGAUCAUGUACAAGACACGGUUGGAGUUCAUAAAAGAUUAAGCUGCCUCGUGCUAUACAGACGUGGAUAAAAACAAGCUGUCCAAUGAAUGGUGACUACUCAAGAGGAGCCAGAAAGUCAACUAAGGCCAGGGUAUUUUGGGAGUUGAUAUGGCCGGGGAAGGGGGGGAGGGGUUUCCAGGGCCCCCCCCCCCCUCCCUUGAGAUCUCGACCGCACAAUCGCGUCUUACAUGGGCACAUGGGUUGUCUAGGGCAUAAUUUACAAAAUUAGAUUGUAAAUUAUUUCACGCAAAUUGUUAUUAAGUGAUAAUACUAAUUUAUGCGUAAUUAGAAUACAAAAUCAUACUUUUUCCUCUAUUGCAUUGACUUUGUACACAAAAUCACGUUUUUGAGCAAUUUUUGGUAUGACAUGUACUUACAUAAUGUCACGUUAUUACAGAACCACGUACCGGGUGACACAAGAUUGGUCUCAAAAGAUGCACAAGACUAGAAAGAGGCAUGUUUUAAAAAAAUUGUGCGACAGCAUGGUCGCAAAAUUUUUGGAAGGGGGGGGUCAAAUUGGUCCAAUUUAACUGAGGGUUAAUAACUGGGAGGCUGUUAGCUGCCUUUUUACUUUCAAGUCUUGCACAUCUUUUGAGACCAAAUUUGUGAUGCCUGGGUACGCUGUUCCGAAAUUUUGCAACAUUUUUAUGUAUUAAUCCAACACAAAUACUGUUUCUUGCUAAAAAUUCACAAUUAGUAUAUCAGUAAUAUACAUUUAUCAAGAUUAAAGUCAAAUUAUUUAAUUACAUUUAUAAUCAUAAAAACUUUGAUAAAGUAUAAAAAAAAACCAAAGAGUUGUAUGUAGGCCUGGGACUUUCGGGUUUUUUCUCUUCGGGUACCCGUGGUAAUUUUCGGGCGGGUACCCGAAAAUCAUGUCACUUGAAAUAUGACUGGUGGAAAAACCCCAUAGGUGACGUCAUCAAGCCAAUGCGAUGCAAGCCAAUUUAUGAAUGAAAAUAUAGUAAGCAUGCGCAUUGCAAGCCUCCCGUGCCCCACGCAGUAUUCAAUCGAAACAAUUAAGUUUCAAUACUCUGUCACCUCGUACCAAAAUCGACCUAGAAUUCCACUUUCCUAUAUUUCAUAUGAAUUAUAAAAGGUUUUCUCACCGAUACUGCACAGGUAAGCAAAUUUUUAUUACUUCUUGCUUUUCCGUCAAAAUCUUACGAAGUAGCGUCGAUAUUACAUCGUGUUCGUGAGUUUGUAUCGCUACGUGAACAAAGUCAAUUGAUUUCAGGGUUUCGGAGCGUCAAAUGCGCCAGCCAAUCACGAUCGUGUUCCCAUUUUCGGUUUAUGAUGAACUAAAAAUGGUAACAAGAACGUGAUUGGCUGGCGCUUCGUAGGUUGAUUUUGGUAUGAGGUGACGGAGUAUUGCAGACUUGUUUUGACGGAAUACUGAGUGGGGCUGAGGCUUGCAAUGCGCAUGCUUACUAUAUUUUCAUUCAUAAAUUGGUUUGCGUCGCAGUUGCUGGAUGACGUCACUGCGCUGCAAAAGAAACAUGGCGAUGAUUGAACGAUCUCGGUCACAUCAUCAUCACUUGAAAACUUGUAUAUUUAUGGAUAUUUAGAGGGUAAUUGGUGAAAUUCAAAAUGAGGCUUGUGUACUUUUGUGAUGAGUUACAAUCAUGUCUUACACUACGCAAUACAAAUCAAAUACAUGUACAUUAUACUGGUGAGCAAUUUUCGGGUAUCGGGUAUUGAUUUUUCUACCCGGGUACCCAAGGCUUCCGGGCGGGACCCGGGUACUCGGGUUUUAGUCCCAGCCCUAGUUGUAUGAAAAUUUUCAAAAAUAAUGAAAGGUAAAAGAAAACAAGAUUACAAUGUCCAUUGCAAGGGGGCUAGUCUAUUCAGGAUAAUUGGGAUUUUAUUUAGUUUUUAAUUGACAUAACAUUAUGACAAGAUCCCUCCAUUUAGUGUAUAAACAGCACAUGGCCAUGAUUGAAAUUCAUAUAACAUUAAAGUAAGCAAACCAGGCAGCUACAUGUACAUGUAGGACUCACUGCUUGUCAAUUCUAUUGUCUGCCAGGGUCAAGUGACAUACAGUGCACAUGUAUAACGUGUGUGAAAGUACAUAAGAAAAUCAGCUUUUUAUUUUUGUACUGUAACAUUGGGUGAACUGGUGAUCACUUUGGAUAUGAUGCUCUUCAUAUUGGUUUAUUUUAUGUAUAUGAAUUUUUGGAUAAUCAUUAAGAAUUAAAGCUAUUUACUUAAUAUAUGGAAGCAUAAGCCCAUCAAAAAACAGAAUUAUGUCAUGUACAGCUAAUUCAUUUUGCGUGAUAUUACAAUUGUAAUUGUUUACUUGAGCAAGUAAUUUGAAUUGCUGCAUGACCUAAACAAUAACAUGUUCCAAUUCGAAUAGUAACAUGACCUAAAGAAGAGUUACUCCACGUCGAUUGAGAGUGCUUAUGUUAAAUAAUUGAUGUUGCUACUUCAAAUAAUUGAGGUCAAUCAAAUUGGUCAAUUUUGAGCUAUAUGUCAUAAUUAAUUAGGUCAUAUACUAAUUGAAAUUACUAAAUGGCUCGAGUAGGUAUGAAUUCACGUUGCCACAUGACCUUAAUUAUUUUAUGUAGCAACAUCAUGUAUUGAACGUCAUUUAGUUAUCAAUUAUGACAUGUAGCAAAUCAAAUUACAUGCCGCAAUUUCGUGUUUAUGAUGGGCUCAUGCUUACAUUCAUAUAUAACCCUUCAAUACGUAGUUGGAGCAAUUCUUAGACAAGAAGACUGUGUAAAACAAUGAUAUGCCUAUUCAAUGUCAAAAAGGUUAAUGUCUCAAUAGAUUUGAUCUACGUUUUGGCAAAGUAAUCUUAUGUUCAUAUUUUUUCUAACCUAUGGUGAACAUUCUAAAUCAUGUGAAAUUCAUUCAAAAAUAUCUUUCAGUAUUUAUGGACUUAAGUGAAUUCUAAGCAAAAUGAAGUGAUUAUGAUUACGUUCAUGUACUUUAAGUUUAUACUGGUGAUCAACACAUCAUAAUUUCAUCCCUUACUGUAUGUGCACCAUGCACAUGCAUUAUCUGUACAUGCAGAAGUGGUUAUCCAUUGUUUCAUAACAUGGUUGAGUAAAGGAUGUUCUGCUUUUAGUAUUAAGCCAAUCGGGUGUUGACAAGAAGGGGAAAAUGCAAUUGCUCAGCUAUUACAGGUUUUUUUGCAACCAUAAUACUGGUUAAGCCUUGGUUACAUUCGCCGGCUCGUGGCCUUACGUCGAGUCAAAAUUAGCAGUUUUAAUCAUCCUUGUACCAGCUACUACCAGCUACACGUGGGUGGUUUGUACAGGAAUACCUAAAACUGCUGAUUUUGUCUCGCCGUAAGGCAACCGGUCAAGGAAUGUGACCAAGGUAUUAAUAAUAAUCGCUUAAUGUUGUGUUAGAGGGAAGGAUUCUGGGUCGAAUCUAGCUUUCUUUAUGUGAUCUCAAAAUGGCAGCAAUGUAUGAAUAGUGAAAGUAGUUCAUGUGGCAUCUCAAUGUUGGUGGAUAUAAAUCUUUGUACAUGUAUUAUCCUAAAGAUGAAAUGUUACUGCAUUAUUCUAGCAGUCAUUUAUGAUAUCAAAGAUGUUCUAUACUGUGCAUAGUACAACUCAUACAUAAUAAAGGUAUGUGAAUAUGCUUUUAA